AAUGGGCGCAAGCCCGAUCCAGCAAUGCCGCGUGUGUGAAGAAGGCCUUCGGGUUGUAAAGCACUUUUGUCCGGAAAGAAAACCUCGUGGUUAAUACCCGUGGGGGAUGACGGUACCGGAAGAAUAAGCACCGGCUAACUACGUGCCAGCAGCCGCGGUAAUACGUAGGGUGCAAGCGUUAAUCGGAAUUACUGGGCGUAAAGCGUGCGCAGGCGGUCCGCUAAGACAGAUGCGAAAUCCCCGGGCUUAACCUGGGAACUGCAUUUGUGACUGGCGGGCUAGAGUAUGGCAGAGGGGGGUAGAAUUCCACGUGUAGCAGUGAAAUGCGUAGAGAUGUGGAGGAAUACCGAUGGCGAAGGCAGCCCCCUGGGCCAAUACUGACGCUCAUGCACGAAAGCGUGGGGAGCAAACAGGAUU
rnacentral:rRNA from 1 species